GGAGGCGUACGCGUUCCUGGUGGGCGUCCCGGUCUUCAACACCGGUGAGCGGCGGUAUCCGUCGCUGGCGGGUUCGAUUCCCGUCCGUCUCCGCCA
rnacentral:tRNA from 1 species